AACUGCCGCUUCCUUGGGCUGAAGGGACAAAAGAGAAGAAAGUCAUAACUCUCGCUGUAACCUGGAGCCCAGCAAGGCUAACGCCCUAAGCUGAAAGAGUUGAUGCAGGCCCACCUCCCACCUCGGUUUCUCUCUUCGUCAGAACACCAAUCUUCUGCUAGUGUCUCCCAUUGGCUACAGCUACCAGGAAGACAGGGAAGAAAAAUAGGCAACCUGCCAGUUUCCUGUUCUCAUCUGUACAUUUCCUGGAAAAAGGAUGGUCUAAGCAGUGUGGGCUUCAUACAGGAGAGCUGCCCGAGUCCCAAGUGAAGCACAUUAAGAUGCAGAGUCUCCAGCGGUCACAUUCCAAAACGACUGGGUCACUGAAG